CUGUGAAGAUGCAGUGUACCCGCGGCAAGACGGAAAGACCCCGUGAACCUUUACUAUAGCUUGACACUGAACAUUGAGCCUUGAUGUGUAGGAUAGGUGGGAGGCUUUGAAGUGUGGACGCCAGUCUGCAUGGAGCCGGCCUUGAAAUACCACCCUUUAAUGUUUGAUGUUCUAACGUGGACCCGUGAUCCGGGUUGCGGACAGUGUCUGGUGGGUAGUUUGACUGGGGCGGUCUCCUCCUAAAGAGUAACGGAGGAGCACGAAGGUUGGCUAAUCCUGGUCGGACAUCAGGAGGUUAGUGCAAUGGCAUAAGCCAGCUUGACUGCGAGCGUGACGGCGCGAGCAGGUGCGAAAGCAGGUCAUAGUGAUCCGGUGGUUCUGAAUGGAAGGGCCAUCGCUCAACGGAUAAAAGGUACUCCGGGGAUAACAGGCUGAUACCGCCCAAGAGUUCAUAUCGACGGCGGUGUUUGGCACCUCGAUGUCGGCUCAUCACAUCCUGGGGCUGAAGUAGGUCCCAAGGGUAUGGCUGUUCGCCAUUUAAAGUGGUACGCGAGCUGGGUUUAGAACGUCGUGAGACAGUUCGGUCCCUAUCUGCCGUGGGCGCUGGAGAACUGAGGGGGGCUGCUCCUAGUACGAGAGGACCGGAGUGGACGCAUCACUGGUGUUCGGGUUGUCAUGCCAAUGGCACUGCCCGGUAGCUAAAUGCGGAAGAGAUAAGUGCUGAAAGCAUCUAAGCACGAAACUUGCCCCGAGAUGAGUUCUCCCUGACCCUUUAAGGGUCCUGAAGGAACGUUGAAGACGACGACGUUGAUAGGCCGGGUGUGUAAGCGCAGCGAUGCGUUGAGCUAACCGGUACUAAUGAAC
rnacentral:rRNA from 1 species